GACGAACCGUGCAAACGUUGUUAGGAAUCACUGGGCUGAAAGGGCGCGUAGGCGGGCCCCCAAGUGCGGGGUGAAAUCCUCCAGCUCAACUGGAGAACAACCUUGGAUACUGGAGGCCUCGAGUGAGGUAGGGGCGUGCGGAACUGUGGGUGGAGCGGUGAAAUGCGUAGAUAUCCACAGGAACUCCGGUGGCGAAAGCGGAGCGCUGGACCUUAACUGAAGCUGAGGCGCGAAAGCCAGGGGAGCAAACGGG
rnacentral:rRNA from 1 species